CCGCCGCCGCCUCCGGGGCUCCGAAACCCACACGCGGCCCCCACCACAACCGCAGACUGGCGGAGGGGCGGGCAGGUCGAGGUCGGCGCAGCCUCCACCGCACGCCACACGUCAUGUCCACGGGGACCCCACACACGACAGGGACGCCACAGAACUGGCUGUCCAGGGGGAGACAAACCAGAAAGUGUGGAACAGAAGACGACCAGGGGCUCAAAGUCGGACAGGCUGCCCCCAGAGGAGGCAGCGUCUUAGCUGAGGCCUAGUGGAAGGCAUUGGAAAUCAGAGACCGUUCUGUCUGCGCUCAGCCCCAGUGCAGGACAGUCCCUCCACAGGACAAGGGCACCCAAGCCGUCCUGGGCGCUGGGUGACAUGUGAUGGCCAUGCCCACUCCAGUCUGAGUGACCUUCAGUUGACGUUAGCUCGUCACCUCCUGCUCCUACCCCACCAGUGGAGUCUGAAACUGGCCCCAGUCCAGCGCUCCUAGGGGGUGGCGCCUGCCCUGGGGAGCUGUCCAGGCAUCUCUGUGGCCCAGUGUCACCUCUGAGGUGCCAGUAGGUGUCCAGAGACACAACGAGGAUGGGCGGGCACAGGGAGAUGCCCGGGAGGGGCCGGAGACUCACUGUGCAGCGUCCUCCCAUCAGGAAACCUGGUUGCUCCCCUCCAUGGACACGAACCGUCCCCUGCGCUCACCUGUGUCCUCGGGCUGCUCCCCCCGCCCUCCUCGGAUUCUUGCAGCGAAAGCAGCCCCCAUAGGACGCUGCUCCAUGUGUGCAAACAAAACCCCAAAGGAGUAUUUCAAAAACAGAGAAAAGACACCUCUUA